GAUGAACGCUGGCGGCGUGCCUAAUACAUGCAAGUCGAACGAAGGAACGAGAAGCUUGCUUCUCUGGUGUUAGCGGCGAACGGGUGAGUAACACGUGGAUAACCUACCUAUAAGACUGGGAUAACUUCGGGAAACCGUAGCUAAUACCGGAUAAUAGUUUGAACCGCAUGGUUCAAAAGUGAAAGACGGUCUUGCUGUCACUUAUAGAUGGAUCCGCUUUGCAUUAGCUGGUUGGUAAGGUAACGGCCUACCAAGGCAACGAUGCAUAGCCACCCUGAGAGGGGGUUCGGCCACCCUGGACCUGGGCCCCGCUCAGGCCCCUUCCGGGAGGAACCAGAAGGGAAUCUUCCGCAUUGAGCGAAAUCCUGACGGACCAACGCCGCGUGAGUGAUGAAGGUCUUCGGAUCGUAAGACUCUGUUAUUAGGGAAGAACAUAUGUGUAAGUAAAUGUGCACAUCUUGACGGUACCUAAUCAGAAAGCCACGGCUAACUACGUG
rnacentral:rRNA from 1 species